rnacentral:lncRNA from 1 species
GAAGAAGCCAUGGAAGAGAGUAGUGGAAGCAAUUCAAUUGGCUUUGAAGAAGCUGAUGAGAAGAUAACUCUGACAGUGAUGGGGAUGGAUGGAUAUUCUUUGAGCUUCACUAUGAAGCGUGACCAAACAUUUCUAGAGCUCAAGACUGCCUACUGCGAGAUCCGAAAACUCGGUGAUCACAAGGGAACAGCUUUCCUUUGUAAUGGUAGGAGGCUUUGCUGCACCAAUACUCCCAACGACUUUCGGCUCCAGAAUGGCGAUGUUAUUUAUGCUAUGCUUCACCAGAGAGGCUGCUAAAUUGUUUCAACCACUUAAUUACUACAUAUAUAUUUAAGGGGUUAAUUAUCAAACUCAUCACUGAAGUGGACAAAUGGUAUCAACUUCAUCACUGAUCUCCACGGGGUCUCAAGUUGUCUACCAAACUCGCUUCAUGGUAUCAAACUCAUCACUGCCGUUAAAAAAAGUAACGGAGGUUAGACAGAGUGCCAGAUUGGCGGUUGACGUGGCACAUUAAUAAAAAAGACUGAAGAAAAACAAAUGAAGAAAAUAAAAAAAAAUAGAAAAUAGAAAUGCCACAUAAUUUGAAGUUUAUAUGGAAAUAAAGUAUGCAAACUUUUUGUUAAAUUAAUUUUAGGAUAUAGUUAUCUAAAUAAAUGUAUGGAACUAAAUUUUAAUAUAUAAUUAACUAAACAAUUAAGAUUAACUUUUAUGUUUUUUUAUUAGAUUAUAAUUAUUUUUGAAUAAUAUUGAAAUGUUUUCUCUUUUAAUAAAUUUUAUUUAUGUGAAUAUUAUUGUUGGCAAAAAAAAUAUUUUUAAACAUUAUGUGUUGUUUUUGAAGAUUUGGACAAUGUGUGCUGUUUCAUAUGUUAAAUAUAUAUAUAUUUAUUUCCAUGUUUUUGUUUGGUAUAAGAAACUCCAAAAGAAAUAGAAGUGUUAAAAAUCGAAAUGAAUUUCUUUAUGUUCUAUCUCUAGAUUUUUCUCAAAAUUUUAAAAUGUUGGUGAUAUAAAAAAAUUUAAAAAAUAUUUUUUACCAACAAUAAUAUUCACAUAAAUAAAAUUUAUUAAAAGAGAAAACAAUUCAAUAUUAUUCAAAAAUAAUUAUAAUCUAAUGAAAAACAUAAAAGUUAAUCUUAAUUGUUUAGUUAAUUAUAUAUUAAAAUUUAGUUUCAUACAUUUAUUUAGAUAAUUAUAUCCUAAAAUUAAUUUAAUAAAAAGUUUGCAUACUUUAUUUCCAUAUAAACUUCAAAUUAUGUGGUAUUUCUAUUUUCUAUUUUUUUUUUAUUUUCUUUCAUUUGUUUUUCUUCAGUCUUUUUUUAUUAAUGUGCCACGUCAACCGUCAAUCUGUCACUCCGUCUAACCUCCGUUACUUUUUUUAACGGCAGUGAUGAGUUUGAUACCAUUAAGGGAGUUUAGUGAGCAACUUGAGACCCCGUGCAGAUCAGUGAUGAAGUUGAUACCAUUUGUCCACUUCAGUGAUGAGUUUGAUAAUUAACCCUAUAUUUAAGCAGCAAGCUUAUGUAUUUAUGCUAUGCUUCACCAGAGAGGCUGCUAAAUUGUUUCAACCCCUUAAUUACUACAUAUAUAUUUAAGCAGCAAGCUUAUGUAUUUACGCUAAGUAGCUAUUUGGUUCAGUAAAAAGCACAUGUGCAGUACAAAUUGAACAGAUCGUCAUCGAGAAUCGAUUACGCAAGCUCUGAUAUCAUGUUAAUCGCAGCUUAUUACUUGUAAAUCUGUAACUACCGUACUCGAAUUCGUGCUGCAACUAUGUAAUAUCCAUUACUAGAAAUCAAAGAUAAACUGUACAAGCUCUUUCUUCUACCACACCAGUAAGCUAGAACAACUAUGAAUACUAGAGUGUUUGUGUUUGCUGAAUACAAGAACAGAUUGCUAGACAAGUGAAAAUUACAACUACUACUUGCUUCACUACUAAGCAAGUAUAUAUAGACAGAUGGUGGAAAGAAUGGAGUGUUGAGUAAGCUAGUCAGUUAUUCAGUUACAAGCUGAUGUGUCACAUUGCCAGCUGUCUGCUUAGCUGGUACUGUGACCACAAUUUCUUGAAUUCCAAUAUAUAAGUUGCUUAACUAUAUCUAGAUGUGAUCAAGUAAAGAAACAACAAAGAAACCAUUUGAGGCAAUUUGUUAUUUUACGAUAUUUUUAGACCAUUAUUGCCUAAUUUACUACUCUCAAGUACAAAAGUUUUAAAUUCUCUGUUUUGGAACAACUUUUAAUCCUUGUAUAUACUCUUUAACUACAUCUAGAAGUGAUCAAGUCAAGAAAUACUAGACGAAUUCUCAAUUUUAGUGUUCUUUUUGAUCAUUCUUGUCUAGUUUAGCAACUUAAAAGUGCCAAUCUCAAAACCCUCCGUUCUUCCUCCAAUUUGAUUUCUAUUACAUGUUCCUUAUCUAUAUAUAGAUGUGAUCAUGUCGACAAAAAAAAAAUCAUAGUUCUAGUCGAUUUGUGUUUUUCUAAUAUGGUUUUUUAGCUUUAACGCCUAAAAUUGUCACUUACAAGUACAAAUUUUUAAAAUUUCUGCUUCUAAACUAAUCAAAAUGCAUGUAUGGGUUCCUUAUCUAUAUUUAGAUGUGCUCACAUUAAAAAACAAAAAAACCUAGUUCUAGCCAAUUUGUUAUUUUUUAGUGUUUUUUUUAGCAUUUUUGCCUAAUUUUUCUACUUACAAGUACAAAUAUUUAAAAUUUAUGUAUGUGCACAGAUUUGAAUAAUUGUACAUGCUCCUUAAUUGUAUCUAGAGCUAAACAAGCCAAAAAAAAUUAUAAUAAUAAAUAGUUAUCGGCUAUUUGAUCCUUUUUAGUUUGUUUUUCGAGCAUUUUGCCUAAAUUAGCCACUAAGAGCAUCUCCAACGCAGGUCACCUGUUAGGUUCAAAUCUACGUGGCAACUGAUUUAUCUAAUAUGUAAAAAAAACACCACUCCAACGUAGAGACCUGUUAGCAAUACAUAUGUUGAUUGAGUGUAUGUCAUCUAUAUCAUAUCCACGUCAUUUUCUUUUAAAAUAUAACUUUAAAAAAAUUUAACUCUGCUCCAACUUAGGUGUCUGUAUUAUAUUAUAUAUGUAUUAUACUAUAAUUCUAUUUUAUAUAUUUGUAUAACUUUUUAAUUUUGUAAUUUAAUUUUAUGUAUUGUCAAGUGUAAAAAUAUUUAUAAUAAAUAAAUAAUACAAUAAAACUAAUAUAAUAACUUAUAUAGUUAUUUAACGUCAAUUAAUGUGUAUUUAUAACAAAAAAAAUUAGUAAAUGUUUUACAUAAUAUAAUUAAUUUUUGUUAAUUAGUUUUUUCAAGUUUUUAUUAUUAGAAUAGUAUCGGUAUAUAUGUUUUUAUUAAUUAGGAUUUAAUAAAUCUUCUAAGUAGUGGAGGCUCACUAGUAAGUCGGCCUAGCAGAAUGAUGAGCACAAAGGACUCGGUUCAAAAUAACUAAUAAGUCGGCCUAGCAGAAUGAUGAGCACAAAGGACUCGGUUCAAAAUAACUAAUAAGUCGGCCUAGCAGAAUGAUGAGCACAAAGGACUCGGUUCAAAAUAACUAAUAAGUCGGCCUAGCAGAAUGAUGAGCACAAAGGACUCGGUUCAAAAUAACUAAGCGUCCAAUGUAUAUUUGGUCUAGUUCUGAUCUUGGGCUGGAGAGAUAAUCUUCAUAAAUUAGGAUGGAUGGUGCAACUUUGGUGAUCCAUAUCUGUGGGCAUGUGGGCCUGCCGAAGCUCAUGGUGGUUUUCGUAUUUGUGUUGGCUACGGUCUAAUUAUUCUCGUACAUCUACACCAACAAAAUUCAACCUAAAUAAAAACGAGUAGUGCUAAUUAAAGCUUUGGGAACGGAGUUGUUAAGAGAGUCUAAAGAUAUCAAUGUGCAUGUUGUGAGAUACGAUGCAUUCAUAAGAUAUCAAACAGACACGACCCUUGUCCCUUCAUAUUCAAAGAACUGUAUACAGGAGAGUGAAGUAGUCAUUGAGAGUGUAUAAAUACCGACACAAAAUUGACAAUGCGUCUAAACUGAAGCGAAUCAGAGAGAAGCAGCCAUGGAAGAGAGUAGUGGAAGCAGUUCAAUUUCCUUUGAAGAAGCUGAUGACAAGAUUACUCUGACGGUGAUGGGGAUGGAUGGAUAUUCAUUGAGAUUCACAAUGAAGCGUGACCAAACAUUUCUAGAGCUCAAGACUGCCUACUGCGAGAUCCGAAGACUCGGUGAUCACAAGGGAACGGCUUUCAUUUGUAAAGGCAGGAGGCUCUGCUGCACCAAUACUCCCAACGACUUCCAACUCCAGAAUGGCGAUGUUAUUGACGCUGUGCUUCACCAAAGAGGCUGCUAAUUAAAAUGCGUGUCGAGUCUCCCGUCUCCUGUGUAAAGAAAUGAACGAGACGGAAAGUAUUAUGUAUUCACUGGAGUUAGUUUGUUAUGCAUAUUUUGAACUUAUGAAUAUAUUUAUUAUCUAAUUUGGAUGUUAUUGAAUGCGUUAUCAUAGGCAAAAAUGGUCGAUCCUGAAGUUAUAUCGAAUCUGUUAUUUAUGCGUUGCUUCACCAAUGAGGCUGCUAAAUUGUUGCAAUCCCUUAAUUACUACAGAUUUCCACUAGUAUAUUAGACAGCAACUUUAUGUAUUCAUGCCAAUUAAGCUAUUUGGUUCAAGAAAUUCCAUGUCUUUUCAAUGAAUUCUCCAUCUUUUUUAUCAAUAUCUAUCAAUUGCUCUGAUUAUUAUAUAGCAUGGUUGAUUUGUAUAUGCUUGUGUUAGUUUGGUGGAGAUUAAUUAGGUUCCUGCUACUAUGAUCAUGUUUUGCAUAUGUGAUAAAUGGCUUGUGUGUUGCUUGUGGCUUCAGAGUUUAUAAAGACAUCCAUUAUAGUACAACCUGGUGGCUGCACAUUGGUUUAACUCUCAUAACUUUACAGGGAUAUAUAACAACUGGACUCUCCGAAUUUGAUAAGUUGACUACUCUGAUUCAGAUGAGGUUUGAAUCAAGCAACGAAUAUAUCCCGGAAAUGUUAAUGUGGUCGUUACAAAUUACAAUACUGUAUUUGUUUAUCUACAUUAUGUGCGAUGUAUGUUUUAACUCUCCAAAUUACUGAACCUACCUAAUUAAAUGGACAUUAACUUAUGAGCCUGUUAUCCGUCCCAGAAGUUAACUUCAAAUUUGAAGUUAAAAUGUAAAGAGAAGGUAUAAAAAAAAUGAAUAUCACAACUGUAGGAAGAGAUAAACUGAACUUUACCCCAAAAAGCAGAGAGAUUCUGAUUUUCUGAUACAUUGUGUGGGUAAUCUUCUUACUUUAUCCAUCAAGUAUGCUAG